rnacentral:lncRNA from 1 species
GCCACAUGAGUUUCAUGGGGAUGAAACUCCUCUCUCAUCUGAUGAAACUCCUUCAUUUAAUGACCCUGCCAAGUUAGCAAUUUUGCUUAUAUGGCACCCUAUUUAAUGUGCAUGACACUCUUAUGAAACAUGUAUUGAGACUGACCUUACGCACUAUGCUAGAUGACCAUAACUGAAUGAAAGGAGCACUUGUGUUGAUUGCCUUGCCGGAGACUAGGAAUAUUCAGGAGUGAUCUCAGCUUGCAGUCUCCAAGGUUUAGAAAUCUUCAAGAACUUCUUCUGACAACUCAUUUGGAGACCAAAGAAAAAAAAAUACUUCUCAUCAAUAGAGUUAUGGCUAGAGCAAAUUGUAUAAUAGCUCUAAUUUUCU